rnacentral:lncRNA from 1 species
AAGUCAGGAAGAUGGUCAUUGUUAUAUUAUUGGUCUUUUAAGUGUGUGUUGCAUUUUAACGUUGAGUCGUUUGUGUUUUCUCUUAUUUUUGAGAUAUUGAGAUAAGACCUGGCACGGUACUUGUCUAUCCCAGAUUCAUGUAUUUGGUUUUCAUGUUAUAUUUGUUAUUCUCGUGGUGUCUUGUCUGAUGCUUGGUCCGUUUCUGUGUUAUGUCGAUUUUCUCCUCUUAUAUUUAAUGCGUUUCCCUCGGUUUUAGUUUGAUACCCCGAUUUUGAUUUUUUUGUCCAUGGAUUUAUGAGUUUUGAACAGCGGUAUACUACUGUUGCCUUUAUUUCCGCUAAUAUCCUUUUGAAGACGUUCAUUCUUUUUCUCAAGUUUCAUAGAAUAAUAUUGUAACAGGUUUUUUGACUUAACUGU